AUGUUUACUUGCAGUGUCUGAAGAGCUCAUCUGGAAUCCCUAAAGGAGAGACCUUAACAUCUUUACUUUCAGCAGAGGUUGUGGAAGAAAAAAACAAUCCAGUACAGCUCACCUCUGUUUUCUUGAAAAUAAAUCCUGGAAGAUGGUCAUAGGCUGAGAUGAAAGGGACUCUUCUAAGACCUCGGAUGUUCUAAAUGACUUUAAUCCUUGGAAAAUGUGAGCUUUGUCCAAAGACACUGAACAUUUGAUUGCUGAAAUUGGCAUACAGAGAG
ensembl:processed_transcript